AUCCAGUUGACGAGUCCAAAAUAGGACGAAGGCUGCGUCAAACUGGAU
rnacentral:hammerhead_ribozyme from 1 species